GGGCGUAAGGAUGCGUAGGCUGGAAAUCAAGUCGAGAGUGAAAUCCAACGGCUCAACCGUUGAACUGCUCUCGAAACUGGUUACCUAGAAUAUGGGAGAGGUAGAUGGAAUUGGUGGUGUAGGGGUAAAAUCCGUAGAUAUCACCAGGAAUACCGAUUGCGAAGGCGAUCUACUGGAACAUUAUUGACGCUGAGGCAUGAAAGCGUGGGGAGCAAACAGGAUUAGAUACCCUGGUAGUCCACGCCCUAAACGAUGCACACUAGUUGUUGCGAUGCUAGUCAUUGCAGUAAUGCACUUAACAGAUUAAGUGUGCCGCCUGGGGAGUACGGUCGCAAGAUUAAAACUCAAAGGAAUAGACGGGGACCCGCACAAGCGGUGGAGCAUGUGGUUUAAUUCAAAGAUACACGAAGAACCUUACCUGGGCUUGAUAUCCUAAGAAUCCUGUAGAGAUAUGGGAGUGCUAGUUUACUAGAACUUAGAGACAGGUGCUGCACGGCUGUCGUCAGCUCGUGUCGUGAGAUGUUGGGUUAAGUCCCGCAACGAGCGCAACCCUCGUGAUUAGUUGCUAACAGUUCGGCUGAGCACUCUAAUCAGACUGCCUUCGCAAGGAGGAGGAAGGUGAGGACGACGUCAAGUCAUCAUGGCCCUUAUGCCCAGGGCUACACACGU
rnacentral:rRNA from 1 species